GGCGUCAGUCUUGGCUGUCUGCUUCUGUACUCCGUACUCCUCGCGGUGCAUUCUCCCGCAGCUUAGUUAUCCACCGCCAUCCUGGCCCCCACGUGUUGCCUGACUAUUCUUGAGCCCAGCAGAGAAGUAAGGCUUCUGCAUAACCUGGCUGGACCCCAGGCGGGAUGGGACGUGUGGUCUGGAGGGACCUCGCCGGAAAGGAUGGGAUGGCGGGUAGACCAGCUGCAAGAGAAGAUGUAGAGGGGCCCAGGCGUUGCAAGGAGCUAGAGCUGGAUAAUGGUUCAGAGGCACAAGCUGGAGCUGACUGCAUUUGUUCCCCUCUAGAGGGGAGACAUGGCUGAGGUGAUGGUCUCCCAGUGGAAGAGCUUACUGUCACAGCAACUCUUUUGCAAGAUGCCCCGGUGAGGCUUCCAGCUGAUUCUGUCUUUUCAGUCCAGGAACAGUUGCUGAACACCCCAGGCCUGCUGAGCGCCCUCCUUGAGUCUCAUGUUCAAGCAGACUUGUGAGUAAAGCACUUGGCUACCCCUUUUCCCUUAGUAUCUUUUUUAAGGAUGUUUGUGCAGCAGACAGCCUUGGAAUGUGAGAGGUAGUCCCUUCUUCCAGAGCAGAGAGCAGGCAUUCUUGCAGUGCGUUGUGAAAGGGUAGAGUCCUGCACUCCUUUCCUGUAGUAGCCCAAUGCCUAUGCAGGUGCCCGUGACUCCCCUUGCAUCACCCUAUGGAAACUGGGGCUUGGGAGGGUCAUGGAAAAUACUGAUGCUCUGUGUGUUGCUAUUGCUUUGAAUAGUCAAUGGUCCCUUGUCCCUAAUCGAGAGAUUUUGUAUUUUCUACCAGUGUCCACAAAACUGGGAGGCUACCUUGUUAGCUGCAAGUUCUUGUCAGCCACCUCUCACCAGUGGCUCUGCUCUGUGUAUGUCCCUGACCCAACACAUGGCACAAGAGUGCCUGCCGUCCCUCCGUAUUUCUGCAGCAGCAGUCCCAGGAUGCCAGAGCUAGCGGGGACCUGACCUGAGACACGAUUCCUUCAGUGGCUGCCAGGCUGUUCCUUGGAACCUGUGCAGGGAUGAGGCAUGCCCGUGUUAAUACACCUACUGAGGAGUGGAGCCGAAUUUGAACGCAAGUCUUGGCACCUUAAUUGAGCAAGUUUGAAACCUUCCUUACUGCCCUUCUGGAAGGAGUCAGGAAUUUCCGGUUCUGGGCCUGGACUCUGGAUCCGACAGACCUCUCGCCCUAGGUUUGGGUGCCAGGUUCUCUGCUUCCAGAAUGAGAAGCCUUGCUGUGCUCCAGGACCUGGGCCUUUCUGGUAUCUCCUGAAUGGAAAACAAGGGAUAUUUAAUAAAUACGGAUUUAAGUAUGUGA